GAGUUUGAUCCUGGCUCAGAACGAACGCUGGCGGCAGGCUUAACACAUGCAAGUCGAGCGAAGACUUCGGUCUUAGCGGCGGACGGGUGAGUAACGCGUGGGAACGUGCCCUUUGCUACGGAAUAGUCCCGGGAAACUGGGUUUAAUACCGUAUGAGCUCUUCGGAGGAAAGAUUUAUCGGCAAAGGAUCGGCCCGCGUUGGAUUAGGUAGUUGGUGGGGUAAUGGCCUACCAAGCCGACGAUCCAUAGCUGGUUUGAGAGGAUAAUCAGCCACACUGGGACUGAGACACGGCCCAGACUCCUACGGGAGGCAGCAGUGGGGAAUCUUAGACAAUGGGGGCAACCCUGAUCUAGCCAUGCCGCGUGAGCGAUGAAGGCCUUAGGGUUGUAAAGCUCUUUCGCUGGGGAAGAUAAUGACGGUACCCAGUAAAGAAGCCCCGGCUAACUCCGUGCCAGCAGCCGCGGUAAUACGGAGGGGGCUAGCGUUGUUCGGAAUUACUGGGCGUAAAGCGCGCGUAGGCGGAUUGGAAAGUUGGGGGUGAAAUCCCGGGGCUCAACCUCGGAACUGCCUCCAAAACUAUCAGUCUGGAGUUCGAGAGAGGUGAGUGGAAUUGCGAGUGUAGAGGUGAAAUUCGUAGAUAUUCGCAGGAACACCAGUGGCGAAGGCGGCUCACUGGCUCGAUACUGACGCUGAGGUGCGAAAGUGUGGGGAGCAAACAGGAUUAGAUACCCUGGUAGUCCACACCGUAAA
rnacentral:rRNA from 1 species